AGGCCCGGCACGUGACGCUUCUCAUCAAUCAGAAAACCCAUUUUUCUUUUUCCUCAUAUUUUUGGCUUAAAUCCUAUUUUCCCUACUUAUUUAGUAUUUGUUUUAGAAAAACAAUAGUCACUUACCCGCGCCGUUUCCUCUUUAUUUUUAUUUUUUCCCACGCAACGCUUCGUUACCUCUUCCUCUUCCAUUACAAUGCUUUCUCUUCUUUCUAUUUUAUCUCUCUGUUGCCCAAGCAAUCAAAUUUGCAUUGUUUAUUCAGUCCGUGUUGGCAUCACAGUUGUGAAGAGGAACCACAUCACAAAUUGUUCCCGACUUAAUUGGGGAGAAAUAGAAAGAAUGUGACAUGCUUAUUGUGACGCUCAUGAACUAUUCGAAAAGAUGCCCUAUAGAGAGAUCUUGGCCACGACUUCACGAAAAGGUGUUAUUUACUCAACAGAUGGAAAAUUCCCUACAAGGACGGCUUCAGUAAAGGGUGUUAUUUACUCAACAGAUGCAGGAAUAUGAUGUUGCAUCAAUUUGUUAUUGAUGAAAUCUUUUAUCUGAAGUUGAUUCGGGGAUUUACUUAGACUUUGGUGGUGUAAGGAAAGCCCGCAAGUACUUUAAUAUAAUCCGGAAGAUCAGAAGUUGUAUGCAUUUGUGACUUCAUUGGAGCAGGUUGUUUCAGCGUAAAGAAUGAUGACUUGAAGCAGGAAUUCUUUCGGUUAUAAGUUUUAUUAUUGUUCGGAAAAUUUGCUUUUGGAAUUGUCGUUUUUCUUCACACCUUUGUCUACUAAUUCUGGGAAGUUGCCACAACAAUAUUGAUCAACCAAAAGUUCAUAUAGAGGGAGAACCUCAGAUGAGACUAUGAAUGUAGGGUAUUACUUACAUAACUGUUCAUUUCCUGAAACUUUUCUCGAAUAAACUAUUGAUAUCCGAAAAUCAUGUGAGUAUUUAUGAAGUUCAGUUCGUUGUUUUUUUCGUUUUACUUUGAAUAUAAAUAGACAUGUAAUUUAGCGGCCAUUUGUUUCUCAGAAAACAAGUUUAAGAGAUCUUUUUAAUCUAUUAAAAAUUUAUGUGAUCUUCUGUUGACUACAUAUUAUGCUCGAUAUCAACUUAUGGUUUGAGAACAUGAAAGUUAACUACUGUUGUUCAUUUUUUGAAUGCCGAAGGAAGUAUUGAAUAAGAAGAUGCAAAGCAACGGGACUGAUUGGCAUGUCUUGAGGCGGGUCAUGAAAGGGAUCAAGACUGUUGACAUCCCGAAACCAUGUGAUGUUUGACUUGAUUUGCUUCAAAGCUGGUGUUUUCAUAGUAUAUGGCCAUGAGACUAUCCCCGCAUUAACUGCAGGAUUCAUGUUUGCAAAUGGCUGGUGGGGAAGAACUAGAUUUUAUUCUUUUGGUAUCAAAACUUAUAUAGGG